rnacentral:lncRNA from 1 species
UAUAAAAAUGUACACACACGGUACAAUUUAGAAGUCUUUAUUAUAGAAGAUCGUAUUCUGUGUAGUGAAUAUCAUAACUAUCUACUGACGAUACGAUACGCGUAAGUAACCGAAUUGAGCAUCGGCUUAGAAAAUAACCCCACAUCGUAACAAAUAGAGAUGAAGGUCAUUCAUAUCACUAUUUUGACAAUUGUUGUCAUGGCAGCGUUGACGGUUAGAGCACAAUCUGAAGAAGAGGAACCAAAAGAUGGAUAUUUUGACUUUUUGAAUCAAGUUAUGGACAAACGAAGGCCAGCAAGGACACGACCAGCAAGGUGUUUAACAUACGGCCAAACAUGCACAGUGAACUACUUCGGCGCUCACAAUUGUUGUCGUCAGACCAGGUGCACCGGCGCACGUGGCAUGCCCUGCAGCAGAGGAAAAUCUUGCGUUUGUGCCCACUACAACGGAAAGUGAUCAAUAUAGAUAUCUCAUAGGAUUAAGCAUUGUGUUUAGAUUCAGUGUUUUUUAGGAAUAAAUAAAAAAAUUUAUCCCGUGUUAAUAAGAAGUUAUUUUUUUCCAAUUUUGGAGAGAUAGGCCUACAUGUGUUGCUGUAUUAAUAAAUAAUGUAUAUGUUGAUAGCAGUAUGUUUAUGUGUAGAAACAAUAAACAUAAGAAUAUAGAUUUUGUGAUAAAGUGAGGUGAAAGAUACAGUAAAUACAAUACAAUUUAAUUUAUGAAUUUGAAUAUCAGGUACCGACACCCCCUUACGCAACAUGGAAAAUGAUACUUAAAAUCUGGAACGCUAUUUUACAUUGGUCGUCUUCAGAGGUUUAAGUUUCCACAAAUACAUCAGUACGUUGAAGUGUACAUACCUGAGUAUUGCAAGACAGUUUUUGAGGUACAUUACGUUCAGGAUUUAAGUCUCUCUAGUUUCAUUCGAGCCUGCUUCAUAGGCUAUUACAUAUUCAGGAUUUUGAAGUUUUGUGCAUUUUUACAUGAUUCAUUCACGGUGCAAUCAUAAUAUAUAAGUUGACACUAUGACACGGACUAAAGUUUAGCAUUGACAAACACGACACAGAGUAAUAUAAUGCAAUUUGUGAAGACGGAUAAACAUUGUAUAACUCUUGGUGGGAUAUUGUGACGAAAAUGUUGUUUAGGGACAUUGUUGUUUACAGACGACCCGGAUCGAGGCAUUAAGCGCUAAAUACGUCCAUACGGAUGACUGCAAGACGACACCUUACUGACAAUCUGGCAGACAUGAGCGUUAGAGAAAGUUGGUAAAGAAUCUAUUUGUAAAUAUCACUUUUAGUACAUACAAAUUUUAGGAAGCUAUUUGUUGUCCAUUACGAUUGCUACUCUUAAUAAGAAUAUUGCCACAAAUCACGUAGCUACAAAACACUCCUACACAAGUGCUAAUGUGGACGUGUUCGUGCAUUAUAACUUUAACAAUUAUUCUAUAGUUGGAAUUGAAAAUCAGAGUUUCAAUUUCUUCAGAGAAGACAUUCUAACUACUGUUAGAUUAAAGAAACAGAAACGCAUUUACGUCAUAUUCUUCUGAUAUAUUCGUAUGCUUUAAAUGUUGGCUGUGCACAAUUUACCAAUAAUUUAUAAAUACAAAUUAAUUUAAUAUGAGAGUUGGAAUUAUUUUGAUUAAGGUAAAAUUAUGGUGGAGAAAGUACUGGUUAACGUCAGCCGACGAUAGAGGGGGAUAUUGUUUGUUGGAGUCUUAAUGGCCAUUGAAAUACAUUAGGUUUAAUCAAUGUGACAGUUUAUUUUGUUUUGAAUAUUUAAUAUAUAAAAAAGCUACCAUUUUGAAAUCCACGUCGCAUACAAUUGAUCUUAGUCUACAAAUAAAAUAUGCGUAGAGCUAAAAUUUAGUGUAUAUUUCUAUAAAUUGAUUUCAAAUUGUUUUUGAUGGGUAAUAUUACCUGUCAUAUUAUAUUGCACUAUUGCAUUUUGCCUAAAUCUAAUUUUGAAGGAUAAAGUAAGUUACGCUCGAGUUUACGUAACUGGGCUAAGCGAGUAACUUUACUAUGGUAAAGAAGGCAUUCCAUUCAUGCACAACGGUCGUACUGUAGUUCUAAGUUAAUUCAACAAACAUGGAAUAAAACGUUAUUAAUAUAUAUUAAUAAUAAAUUUACAUUCCUAUUACGAUAUUCACAUUUCCUGCUUGUACUGCUCUAAUUUAUACACACUUAAAGAGAGAUUAAUUGUAUUGGAGACCAACAAUGAGUGAAAAAAAACCUAUGAAAUGGAGGGGCACUCACGGCAGCCUGUCGCUUGGAUAAGCUUCAUAAUGGUCUGUGAUAACACGAACAAGUGUGCCACGAGACUCAAUUUCCAUAGUUAACCAGUUGGAAAAUAAUAAAAAUGCAUUUUCACCAGGGAAUAUUAGACCUAGAACGUCAACUUCACAAUUAAGAUGAGUUUGACGAGAGCCUGGCAUACCUACCGUACUCAUAUUCAAUUUGGUAUUCCAAACAGAAUUUAUGCCAUUCGGAGUAAAUGAACAAAGAAUGUUUUCAUUUUAAAAUAAAACAAAAUAUUGCAUUAAUAAAUUAUCUUAUGUUAGUACUGUAUUACGUUUUGACAUUGUUAAUUACGGAUCCGCUAACCAGGUCGUCAGUGAACCCAACAGCCGAUGGGUGCGAUGUUCGGUCCAAUAGAUUUGAUUUUAGUAGUCUUAAUAAAUACUACUGAAAUCAAAUCUAUCGGACCGAACAUUGACCUGAGGUGUAUUUAUUGGGCACUAUAUAGUUAGUACGUAUAAUUUUAAUAUGACGAUUAGGCCUACUAUCUAAUAUAUGCUAGGCUAUAUUAAAUUUACGUAUAGGGCUUAUUCCAUUUAUUUCUUUGUGAACUGGAUUGAAAUGCCUACAGUAAUAGAUACAACCGCCACUGCUAAAUCAUGUGUUACGUGAUAGUCGAUAAGUGGCAACUUGGAAAUAUAGUGACAGAUUCAGUAUUGUAUUGUGAUCGAUAACAUUUUAGAUAAGAUUAGCAUAAUUGUCGGCAACGUUAAGGUGAAUAAAUAAAUUAUAUGAAUCAAUUGAAA